ensembl:lncRNA
AAAGAAUAAAGGGCACGUCUGCUGACCCGGGGUUUCUGCCACUUUGAAAGGUCAAAUGUCAGAUUGAGGCACUGUGGACAUCAAAGAACAAUGCAACGUGCAGCUGAAGUACACAGAGUACGAUAAGUGCUGGACUGUGUCUCCCCCUGCAGGAUGAAAAGGGAAACGAUAAAAAGGGAUUAAACUCAUCUCUGUGGAAAUUGUAUUUACAUUGGGAGCAAAGCAGACUGAUUUUAUUCUACAAAAAAGGUUAAUGGUAAACUGCACAUAUCUGCAUGUUUAAAUACAUAUUUAUUAAUAGCAGCGCCAAAAAUGCAUCUAACGUGUCAGUAUACGUAGGCUUUUGUUUAAACAACCAACAGCACAAUGUUAUUUUUCAGUCACUCAAGAUAUAUUCGCAUCCUUCAGCCAGGAAAAACAUAAAAGCUACAUCCUUACUUCAAUUACAAUUUAAGUUGGAGCCAGAGUUUCCUCCUGGACAGAAGAGGGGGCUGUUUGUCGCGAGCUUCACGCUCACUCAGCCGCCAUAAUGAGACCCGUUUGUGAGUUUUGAGUGGAGCGUCAGGCUGCAGAUUAAAAACAGAAAUUUAACAGCGGCUGAUGAUUGUACGGACUACGUCUGAUGCCGGAACACAGUUGUGUAGCGAAGACAAACACAACUCUACACCAGCCACAGUUUUGUCGUCUAAUU